rnacentral:misc_RNA from 1 species
AACGCACAUUGCGCCCCUCGGUAUUCCGUGGGGCAUGCCUGUUCGAGCGUCAUUUUCCUCUCUCCCAACCUUUGGUCGGGGCGUUGGAUCGAGUUGUGGUCUCGUCCGCAACUGGUCUCAAAGACAAUGACGGCGUCCGUGGGACCCUCUUCGCAACGAGUCUUUCGAGGCACGCGGGGAGUUGCAAGGUCUCGUCGGGUCGGUCGACACCUUUAUUUUUUCUAGGUUGACCUCGGAUCAGGUAGGAAUACCCGCUGAACUUAA